rnacentral:lncRNA from 1 species
UAAUCCGCCCUACCGAGUUCAAUGCCAGAUACCUCUGAACCAACUAACAGUGGGUAAGUUUUUCUUUUUCUUUUUCUUUUUCUUUUUGUAGCAAUUUUUACAAUUAUUUGGUUUAAAUGACUUUGUGAGGGUCACCUAUACCGGAGUUGCCUUUUUGCUUUCUUUUAUUUUUUUGUUUGUUUUUCUGGAUCAUUCACUUAUUUGCAUCGGUCCCCUACGUAGAGGAUGCGUAGGCCGGAGCUGACUACUGAGAUAAAC